rnacentral:rRNA from 1 species
CCUACGGGUGGCAGCAGUAGGGAAUAUUGCUCAAUGGGGGAAACCCUGAAGCAGCAGCGCCGCGUGGAGGAUGAAGGUUUUCGGAUUGUAAACUCCUUUUGUUAGAGAAGAUAAUGACGGUAUCUAACGAAUAAGCACCGGCUAACUCCGUGCCAGCAGCCGCGGUAAUACGGAGGGUGCAAGCGUUACUCGGAAUCAUUGGGCGUAAAGAGCGCGUAGGCGGGAUAGCAAGUCAGAUGUGAAAUCCUAUGGCUUAACCAUAGAACUGCAUUUGAAACUGUUAUUCUAGAGUAGGGGAGAGGUAGGUGGAAUUCUGGGGGUAGGGGUAAAAUCCGUAGAGAUCAAGAGGAAUACGAAUUGCGAGGCGACCUACUAGAGCAUAACUGACGCUGAUGCGCGAAAGCGUGGGGAGCGAACAGGAUUAGAUACCCCAGUAGUC